GCAUAAAAUUUAAUUAAAAUUAAAAAAAAAACUGGAAAAAAAAAACGAAACGACAGAUACGCCUACCAGCAGCCUCCCCCAAUCUUUUUGCAAAUCUCCCUGCAAUCCUUCAAAGAAACCCUUAACCCUCAUCAUCCUGCAUCCAUUAAAUUGCAGGGUCUCAAACUUCCAUUCAAUUUCAAAAUUGGAACCUCUCCCGCAAGUCAAAAGUUGCAAGCUUCAUCCCUCCUUCCUUCUCUGAUCCAACCGUGAGGCAAAAUCAGGUGUUGACGAGAUCAAUCGAUCACCGGGAAUUUGAAGAGAGAGGAAAGGAAAUAAAUCUUAGCCAAUUGUGAGGAGCAGCGAUGACGGCAAUGGGGUGGUGUCACUGGUGUGGUUGCAGUGGUUGGCGGCGAUGGGGUUGUCUGGUUGCGGUGGUCGGCGGCGGCGAUGGGUUGUGUAGUUGCAGUCGGUGGUUAUCCAGUCAUGGUUUUUAUUUUUUAGUUUUUUAAUUAAUUUAUGAAAAGUUAACAGCGUUAAGUUUGGUGUUAAGUUACCAGACAAGUGUCAAAUAAUUAAGAAAGAGACACAAAUAAGUCAUCGAAUUGGGGAGAGCAGACCCUGGCCCAUAUUCCAUGCUUUAAGCUUUUUGAAUAUGAAUUGGAAAUUACUCAUUACUUUCA